UACGGAGGAUGCAAGUGUUAUCCGGAAUCACUGGGCGUAAAGCGUCUGUAGGUGGUUUGUUAAGUCAACUGUUAAAUCUUGAGGCUCAACUUCAAAUCAGCAGUCGAAGCUAUCAGACUAGAGUAUAGUAGGGGUAAAGGGAAUUUCCAGUGGAGCGGUGAAAUGCGUAGAUAUUGGAAAGAACACCGAUGGCGAAGGCACUUUACUGGGCUAUUACUAACACUCAGAGACGAAAGCUAGGGUAGCAAAUGGG
rnacentral:rRNA from 1 species